GACGAACGCUGGCGGCGUGCCUAAUACAUGCAAGUAGAACGCUGAAGGAGGAGCUUGCUCUUCUGGAUGAGUUGCGGACGGGUGAGUAACGCGUAGGUAACCUGCCUGGUAGCGGGGGAUAACUAUUGGAAACGAUAGCUAAUACCGCAUAACAGUAGAUGUUGCAUGACAUUUACUUAAAAGGUGCAAUUGCAUCACUACCAGAUGGACCUGCGUUGUAUUAGCUAGUUGGUGGGGUAACGGCUCACCAAGGCGACGAUACAUAGCCGACCUGAGAGGGUGAUCGGCCACACUGGGACUGAGACACGGCCCAGACUCCUACGGGAGGCAGCAGUAGGGAAUCUUCGGCAAUGGACGGAAGUCUGACCGAGCAACGCCGCGUGAGUGAAGAAGGUUUUCGGAUCGUAAAGCUCUGUUGUAAGAGAAGAACGAGUGUGAGAGUGGAAAGUUCACACUGUGACGGUAUCUUACCAGAAAGGGACGGCUAACUACGUG
rnacentral:rRNA from 1 species